ensembl:lncRNA
GCGUUGAGUGUGUUUACCUGCAGAUUUAUAAUAUUGUCUUUAGUAUGAACUUUAUGAGUUGGUGUGUCUGAACGUCAAGCAUUUAAAGAUUUGCAAUAUAAGCGGUCGGUCUUUGUUUUUAGUUUUUUUAAAGUAUUUUGCUUUUUCCACAGUAUUUUUUGGGCUGUUCACAAAUGCAGCCAUGCUGCUGUGAGGGAUAUAAAGACACUUAUCCUGAAUUAAACCUCACCAGAACAUGAGCUGCAAUCCCAAAUACUGUAUGCAUGUGAAACAUCUCAUUUUCGAAAGCUGUGGUGUCUUUUUGAAUCAUGCUCUUCCCUGAUUGGUUCUUCUGAAUUUCGUCUCCUUCCUGUUUGUAUAGUGCCUAGCAUGAUGUAAGCAAAACAAAAGUGGAGGUCAAAAGACUAUUGUUCAUUAAUACUUUUUUCUUUAUGGUUAAUUGACACAGUUUUUAUUCAUGUUUGUGUUAUUAUUUCCCUAACACAUUUCUGAUAUAGGUUAAUAUAGGCCUGCCAUGUUGGCCUGUGGUUAACAAACGAAAGGUCACAACAUUGACUCACUGAAUUACAACGAAUUUUUUUCUGUCAAAUUUGAAAUUUCGUUUUUAAUCGAUUUCACAUUUUCAAGGACUUUGAACACGUCCACUCAGUAGCUGCUCCUGCACAGCUGCAAGUAAGGAUCACAGAUCUCUGUUAGGGGCAAGCAGGCUAACAUUUUAGCAAUAAAGAGCGGAGCUGAAGAAAACCACUGUCUUCCCUGUGCGUGUGGCAUGCAAUUGUGUGUAUGAUUAAUGAGAAAGUGUGAAUGGGGCACUAUUAUUAUUGUUAUUAUUAUGUUUUUUCCAUCACAGAAUUCCCUCUUCCCAUUGGGAAAGGCUGACGGUCAUUACACUGAGGACUCUCCUUUCAAAGACGAAACCACUGUAUUCUUAAUUAGGUCUAUUUCUUGUUUUCUUCAUUUUGAAAGAGCAUUACUAAUGUCCUGUUUGGAGAUUUACUUGUUUUGUAAAAGAGCCACUGUAAGAGAGAAAUAAAAAAAACUAGCGCUUAA